UACAGAGGUCCCAAGCGUUGUUCGGAUUCAUUGGGCGUAAAGCGCACGUAGGCGGAUCGUUAAGUCAGGGGGGAAAUCCUGGAGCUCAACUCCAGAACUGCCUUUGAUACUGGCGACCUUGAGUUCGGGAGAGGUGAGUGGAACUGCGAGUGUAGAGGUGAAAUUCGUAGAUAUUCGCAAGAACACCAGUGGCGAAGGCGGCUCACUGGCCCGAUACUGACGCUGAGGUGCGAAAGCGUGGGGAGCAAACAGG
rnacentral:rRNA from 1 species